rnacentral:rRNA from 1 species
AGCGAACGUUGGCGGCAGGCCUAACACAUGCAAGUCGAGCGGCCGUAGCAAUACGGCAGCGGCAGACGGGAGAGUAACACGUGGGAACGCGCCCUUCGGUUCGGGAUAACUCAGGGAAACUUGGGCUAAUACCGGAUACGCCCUUAUGGGGAAAGAUUUAUUGCCGAAGGAACGGCCCGCGUCCGAUUAGCUUGUUGGUGAGGUAACGGCUCACCAAGGCGACGAUCGGUAGCUGGUCUGAGAGGAUGACCAGCCUCACUGGGACUGAGACACGGCCCAGACUCCUACGGGAGGCAGCAGUGGGGAAUAUUGGACAAUGGGCGCAAGCCUGAUCCAGCCAUGCCGCGUGGGUGAUGAAGGCCCUAGGGUUGUAAAGCCCUUUCAGCGGGGAAGAUAAUGACGGUACCCGCAGAAGAAGCCCCGGCUAACUUCGUGCCAGCAGCCGCAGUAACAC